UGCAGGUGCAUUUUAAGUAACUGUGACCUCUGCUGCGACGACAGGUGUCCUAGAGAGAGCCCCGCUGUGCCCUUUUUGUUCAGGCUCUUCUAUUCUCUCCUGAGAUUAAAAGGGACUUGAAAAACCCAGAAGUACAACUUGUACUUUCAGGCUGCUGUUCCAGCCUGUCAAGUGGGGAUCAUGCAGUGUGACCACCAUUGGGGCAGGAGGGAAGUAGCUAAGAAAUUCAUCUGCCUACAUGAAGUAGCAUGUCUUGAAAAUGGUCAUGGCCAUGAUAUAAUUAGCAAGGUCAUAGAAUCCUAGAAUCACCAAGGUUGGAAAAGACCUACAAGAUCAUCCAGUCCAACCAUCCACCUGUCACCAACAGUUCUCACUAAUCUGUGUCCCUCAACACGAUGCCUAAAUGUUCCUCAGGAGCAUGCAGUAUUUCAGAAUGACAGAAGGUCUGGAGCCAGGAUCCACCCCUUCCCAGCCCUCAUUGAAGGGCUGGCAUUGGAGGCAAGGGGAUCUCACUGGAGAUCCCUGCCUACCUGAGUCCUUCUGAAGGUAAGCAGCUCCUUGCCUUGAUUUCUCUGCCCACGGCUGUUGCCUUUGAGCAGAUCCUCCCUUGCUGCAGUCUUGGACCUUGCUCCUCUGCUGUCAUGGCUGUGCUUUCCAUCGCGCCUGGCCUCAUUGGGCUCAACUCUGCUUACGGAUAGAUGUGUUGGUUUGGUUGGGGUGGUUGCAGUAGCUAAUGGCAAAACCCUUUCCUGAGUGCAACUAAGGAGAUAAGUGAGAAAACAAGAGAGUCUCGAGAGGAAAGAGUGACUGAUGGCAGUGCUGUCCUGGAAGCUACAGUGGAAGCAGUAGAGAGGCCGAUAGUGGCUGUUGGUGUCAGUAGAGCGAUACGAGUCUGUGUGUAAAUAGUGGUUCUUAGAGCUGUGUUAAUUCCUUGAAGAGGCCUAGCAUUGUGGAGGUACUUGUACUGACAGUUGUUUGACUCAGGAAUGAAGUGUGUUUCCCAGUCCGUGAUAACCUGAUAGCGUUGUGUUUGCUCGUGCAGCUGUGCUCUGUGCAUUGUGGAGCUGUCAGACAGAUGUGAGUUCAUUUGCCACUCUCUCAGCAGGAAUGAGACUAGUAAGACUUUCUGUAAGUGCAUUUUAGUUGAAAAAAUGAUUUUGUUUUGGUUGUAGAAAUGCUGUAUUUGAGGGAUUUUGGUGGACGUGGGCUAACAGGACAAGGAUUCUAUUGGCAACUGCUUUCUGUGACACGGAAAGGCUAUACUUUGUUUUAGGGAUGGAGCAUGGGAUUCGAUUGACUCUUACUGAGAAAGGGGAAGUGGAAAGCCUCUGUGGGUAGGAAUGUUUUGUGAGCUGUAGUUUGGGUACCUUCAUCUAAGUAGGACUGUAUGAAAGGGUGCGUGUGAUGGAGGAGAGGGGAAAGUGCCUUGUGUGGACUGUAAGAAAGGCAUAAUGUUACAGAGUGGAGAGGCAGAUUUAAGAAACUCUGCUUGAAAACUUGAAGGUAGUGGCCGGCUGUGCUAAAAUCCUCUUCCGAAGAGUUGCUCUUCAAGUAUUUCCUGCUUUCUCUCUGUGAGAAACUGACGCCAGUGGCCUUCCACUGCAGCGUGGCCGUGCGGAAGGGCUGGGGAACAAGACAGAGCUAGAGAAGGCAACAAAGAGAGCUACAGAUACACAGCAGGCACCUGGACUUGAUGCACUGUCUUUCUGCCCAGGCUUUCUGUUUGUUCAUUCUUAGGACAGUUGUCUGCAGUUUGCAUCCCAGCUUUCUCCCAAGCCCUCGCUGCACAAAAAUGCAAGCAAUCAGAGGAAGAGAAGGAAAAAGCAGAGGAGUGGGCUUCUGAGAAAAGAGCUGAGGGGGAGCAUGAGGAGCUUGAGGCAGUGUUUCAGAAAAGUAGUGCUUUCACUUAGGAUUGUCUGAGAUUUCCUUGCCCUGGGUUAUGACUGUGUGUAGCUAUUGGUUUCUUGGUUCCUGUGUAUCCGUUGGUACACAGAUUAGUGUGUUGAAAAGACAGCUGAGAGUGCAGGACAUGGCAAUGUAUUUCUCCUGGCCAAAUGUGCUGAAGUACUGGAAGGAUUGUGAGAAAGACCAGAGAGAAUUCAAGCUGGACAUGAGGAAGUAUUACUUUUCGGAAAGGGUGAUCAGGCACUGGAAUGGACUGCCAGGGAGUUGGUGGAGUCACCGACCCUGGGGGUGUUCAGGGAAAGGCUGGAUGUUGUGUUGAGAGACGUGGUUUAGUGGGAGCUGUUGGUAAGAGGUGAACGGUUGGAUGAGCUUUGAGGUCUUUUCCAGCCUUGGUGAUUCUAUGAUUCUGUGAAAGAGAAGAGAACCUGGAUUUCUCUUGUACAAUAAGUCUGUAUCAGUUCUGUCUCCUUUCACUGAGCUGAACGCACGGUGUGUGUGAAGCCUUCUGAUGGGAAACCCACGGUCCCCACAAAGUGGGCGCAGAAGCAAAAUGAAGCUGAGAUGCAUCUGUGUGCUGAGUCCUACUGCUACUGCGGAAAAAGCAGCUUUGGUCAGCUUGUGCUGGAAGUGGUCGGCAUCAGAGUGUGAGUGAAGAUUCUUUCUUUAUGGAUCCUUUCCAUAAGGAGAUUUUCGGGAUUGAGGCAGUUGAAGAAAGAGUGAAGCCAGGGGGCAGUCCCUGUGGAGAGGACCUCAGGAACUGAGCUUCCCCACCACUGUCUCAGCAAGGAGACAGACGCAGUUCCCAUUCCUGCUCUGCACAUGGAAAGCUCCCCUUGAGAUACUGAAGGCCGCCCUUAGAAGGUCUUUUCUUCUGCUGGCUGCCAAAUUCGAUGCGUGUCAUGAAGUGCUUUGUAAGGACAAAGCAGUGGAACGUCUUUAUCCUCGAGAGAAUAGUUUUUAAAAGUCAGAUGGCCUCUGCUCUAGAAGCAGAUGUCAAAUGUGGCUUUUCUCCAUGGAAAACUGAUGCCUGGCAACUUGGAGACUAACGCAUAUGUGUAUAGAGAUGUUUUUUUCCCUUUUAAUUUUAAUAGUAAACUGAUUCUAUACUUUUAAUUCAUGAUGAAAUGCUAAAAAUGUGUACUCUUGUUUUCUGCCAGUGCUUGGCUGACAGAGUUUUUGGCCGUUCUGUGGCAUGGAAUGCAACCAGCAUGGAAGCAUCGUUUGUCGCUGUGGAUUCUGAGUAAGAUUUCUCACCCUCUGCUCAUGAUGGGUGCUCGGAGAGUGACCGCCAGUAAAGAAGGAUCUGUUAUCCUCUAGUCGGUACCCGACUGUGGGAGAACAGAGGGAGCUGAAAGAUGUUCGUCCCUUGGACUGUUCCUGUCUGGAUCUGGUACCCAGUGGGUAUUCUGUUGGUGCUGUCAAGCGCUGACGGUUUUGGUCGGGGUUUGUGUUUGGAGGGAGUGAGAAGUAGAUGUUUUGGGGUUUUUUUGCAGCUUAAGCUUUGUUCCCCAAGUCCAAGCCCUGUGGUUCCCGCUGGGGAAGCAGUGUGAGGGAGGUGAAGCCCUAAGCAGAAAGGCGGCGGUGCCUGGAGCUCUCCGUCACAUCUGUGCCCAUCUCAGCAGCUGUGGUGCUGUCUCUGUGCACCUGGAGGAUGUGGUGCAGAGCUCCGAGCCCGGUGUUGGUGGCACGCAGUGUGCAGUGGUCGUUCCCCUUGUCAUGGAAGAGAAACCUUGCUGUUUCCAGCAUGAUCUAACAGGCUCCGUUGAGCCAGUCCUGCCAGGACUUCCAGCCCUGAGGUGGAUGAACUCCCCCGCCCCCUCCUUUGGGUCCCAUGUGGUGUCGUUUCUGGCACAAUCAAUGGAGAUGUCGGAGUUGGAAGGUGUCCUUUGGAAGGGUUUAGUUAGAAAAGCACUCUGUGCCUGGGUGUUUGGCAUCCUGAGAAGAUGACUUGGUAGGUGGGGAACAGCAUUGCACUCUGCGCUUCUCUCCUCCCAUGCGCAGGAAUCACAGCUCUCAGCAGCGUGGCGCUGCUGGAUAGCACGUUACUGACAGUAAGGCGAGUCUCCUUCUUUGUGGCUC